AACGAACGCUGGCGGCAUGCCUAACACAUGCAAGUCGAACGAGACCUUCGGGUCUAGUGGCGCACGGGUGCGUAACGCGUGGGAAUCUACCCUUGGGUUCGGAAUAACAGUUAGAAAUGACUGCUAAUACCGGACGAUGACGUACGUCCAAAGAUUUAUCGCCCAAGGAUGAGCCCGCGUAAGAUUAGCUUGUUGGUGGGGUAAUGGCCUACCAAGGCGACGAUCUUUAGCUGGUCUGAGAGGAUGAUCAGCCACACUGGGACUGAGACACGGCCCAGACUCCUACGGGAGGCAGCAGUGGGGAAUAUUGGACAAUGGGCGAAAGCCUGAUCCAGCAAUGCCGCGUGAGUGAUGAAGGCCUUAGGGUUGUAAAGCUCUUUUACCAGGGAUGAUAAUGACAGUACCUGGAGAAUAAGCUCCGGCUAACUCCGUGCCAGCCGCCGCAGUAA
rnacentral:rRNA from 1 species